rnacentral:tRNA from 1 species
CGGCGUGUAGCUCAACAGCAGAGCACCGGCGUCACAUGCCGGGUCGAGCAGGGGCAGCACCUGCCACGCCGACCA